rnacentral:rRNA from 1 species
GACGUAGGGGGCGAGCGUUGUCCGGAUUCAUUGGGCGUAAAGCGCGCGCAGGCGGCCCGGUAAGUCGGAUGUGAAAUCCCACGGCUCAACCGUGGAACUGCAUUCGAUACUGUCGGGCUAGAGGCAGGUAGGGGAGAUCGGAAUUCCUGGUGUAGCGGUGAAAUGCGCAGAUAUCGUAAGGAAGACCAGUGGCGAAGGCGGGUCUCUGGACAGUUCCUGACGCUGAGGCACGAAGGUCAGGGGAGCAAACGGG